rnacentral:rRNA from 1 species
UACGUAGGGGGCUAGCGUUGUCCGGAAUCAUUGGGCGUAAAGCGCGUGUAGGCGGUCCGGUAAGUCCGCUGUGAAAGUCGGGGGCUCAACCCUCGAAAGCCGGUGGAUACUGUCGGGCUCGAGUACGGAAGAGGCGAGUGGAAUUCCUGGUGUAGCGGUGAAAAUGCGCAGAUAUCAGGAGGAACACCAAUUGCGAAGGCAGCUCGCUGGGACGUUACUGACGCUGAGACGCGAAAGCGUGGGGAGCAAACAGG